rfam:Psychrobacillus sp. FJAT-21963 super45, whole genome shotgun sequence.
AGAAAUGGACGAUUAUCUCCCCAUAUAUGCUAAAGAAUUGGCUUUAGCGUCUCUACCAAGUCACCGUAAAUGACAGGACUAUGAGGGAAAGCGACUUUUGG